ensembl:lncRNA
UUUUGCCUUAUUUAUGAGACGAAGGUAGUUGAUUGUUUGAGAAGUCCUCACUGAUAUGUUGUCAUUCUCACUUUUUAUCCAUUGAACAACAAACAAAAACAUCUCUUAUCUCUCUGACCUUCUGUGCUUCUACUUUUUUUCAAUCCUAUCCACUUUCUCUCUCUUUCUCUGCGUGUGUGUCUGUGGUUUCUGUCACUGUUAUCUUCGCUUAGGUCUGUCUGAAACCCAAGUGCUUCUGAUGACACAUUACCCAAGUGCUGUGCUCUGAUAAUGCCUAACUCUCCCUCUCUCUCUCUGUUUCUCUCUCUCUCUGCAUGUGUGUGUGUGUGUAUGUGUGUGUGCAUGCAUACAUUUGUGUGUGAAAGGGAACCCAGAGUGGUGGCUUCCCAGUUUAAUAGCGAUGUGGUUUAGGGUGGAUAUGAGAGAACUCAAAACUUAUUUUCCACCUUUUGUCUUGAAGAGUUGUGUGUCUGUGCAGAAAUGUGUUCAGUUAUGGUGCGCAAGUUCAGCUGUUCUGUUUGAUGUACUAAAAUGUAUUUGCUGUUAUUUAAAUAAAUCUAAUAUGAUAUAUAUAUAUAUAUAUGUGUGUGUGUGUGUGUGUGUGUGUGUGUGUGUGUAGCUAUAGGGGAAGUGACUUGUUGAGUUGUUUUCAUUUCGUACUCCAGCUCUCUUACGCUAACCACUGACAAAUCGCACACAUAAACUACUUCUCCUUUUUUUCUUUUCUUUUUUGUAUGUUGUACUCAUGUUUGUGUACAUGCAUGCAACAUUAUUUGAGAGUAUGCAUCACAUUCACUGUACAAAAUGUACUAAAAAUACACACAUGUUUCUAAUAUACUUCAUUUUAACUCUAUAGUGGCUACAAAGCUGUAUAAAACUUAAAACUACACAUACACAACUUGGAAACCCCCUCAUGAGGGGCUGCUGUGUCUAAUAUCAUGAAUAUUCCCUGAUAUCAUGCAUAUGAAUGUGAGUUGUCUGUUUGUUUUUGUACUUGUGUGUAUUUAUAGAAGCAGUACUGUUAUUUAAUGUACCACUAUAAAAUGAGUGAUAAUGCUUGAGCAGGUGUUGUGGAAUCCCCUGACUGCAUUGCACUACACAAUUACACACACACACACACUCACCAGGCCUUACAUGCACACGCCACACCCCUCUAGCACACACACAACUUUGAUAAAUAGACUAUUAAGUGAAUUUUAAGUAAGUGAAUUACCAUUUACUUAGUGGGCUCAUCUAUGCAACACAGACAGAGUGAAAUAAUAAAUAAAAAAUAAUGAAUAAAAAUUCUUGCA